rnacentral:rRNA from 1 species
GGAAUUGCUAGUAAUGGCAGGUCAGCAUACUGCCGUGAAUACGUUCCCGGGCCUUGUACACACCGCCCGUCACACCAUGAGAGUUGGGGAUACCCGAAGCCUGUGAGCCAACUAUAUAGAGGCAGCAGUCGAAGGUAGAAUCAAUGAUUGGGGUGAAGUCGUAACAAGGUACC